GCAGACUCACUCUGCACCCUGCUAUAGCCUCAAGUGCGGGUGCUUUUUCUGUCUGCCACAGAAACAUUCCAGGGGCCCAGGACCACUUUGACCUUGUCAAAGUAGAUGGAGCUGCCUGGCAACACAGGA